rnacentral:lncRNA from 1 species
GACUUCGACUCGCCCUCAGCUCUAGCCAGUCUCCAGCACAUCAGAUUUCAGGGUGAGCUAUUCCUUCUAGCUCGUGCUGGAUUCUCUCAGUUAUGGCGUGAUGUCCUUGAAUUUCGGACAUGGACCAUCGUAUUUACUUAUUUGGGGUCUCUAAUACUUUUUAGACUUGAUAUGUUAAGAACAGAUGUCCUUGUUGUGAUGACUUUCAGAUUUUG